AUACGUAGGGUGCAAGCGUUAAUCGGAAUUACUGGGCGUAAAGCGUGCGCAGGCGGUUUUGUAAGACAGAGGUGAAAUCCCCGGGCUCAACCUGGGAACUGCCUUUGUGACUGCAAGGCUAGAGUACGGCAGAGGGGGAUGGAAUUCCGCGUGUAGCAGUGAAAUGCGUAGAUAUGCGGAGGAACACCGAUGGCGAAGGCAAUCCCCUGGGCCUGUACUGACGCUCAUGCACGAAAGCGUGGGGAGCAAACAGGAUUAGAUACCCUGGUAGUCCACGCCCUAAACGAUGUCAACUGGUUGUUGGGUCUUAACUGACUCAGUAACGAAGCUAACGCGUGAAGUUGACCGCCUGGGGAGUACGGCCGCAAGGUUGAAACUCAAAUGAAUUGGCGGGG
rnacentral:rRNA from 1 species